ACGGCUGCUCAGUAACACGUGGACAACCUGCCCUCGGGUGGGGGAUAACCCCGGGAAACUGGGGCUAAUCCCCCAUAGGUGAUGGGUGCUGGAAUGCCCCAUCUCCGAAAGCGCUUAGCGCCCGAGGAUGGGUCUGCGGCGGAUUAGGUAGUUGGUGGGGUAACGGCCCACCAAGCCUAAGAUCCGUACGGGCUGUGGGAGCAGGAGCCCGGAGAUGGACCCUGAGACAAGGGUCCAGGCCCUACGGGGCGCAGCAGGCGCGAAACCUCCGCAAUGCGGGAAACCGCGACGGGGUUAGCCGGAGUGCCCGUGCAUUGUACGGGCUGUCGGGGUGCCUAAACAGCACCCCAUAGCAAGGGCCGGGCAAGGCCGGUGGCAGCCGCCGCGGUAAGACCGGCGGCCCGAGUGGCGGCCACUCUUAUUGGGCCUAAAGCGUCCGUAGCCGGCCCAGUAAGUCCCCCGGGAAAUCUGGUCGCUUAACGAUCAGACUUCCGGGGGAUACUGCUGGGCUAGGGACCGGGAGAGGCCGAGGGUAUUCCCGGGGUAGGGGUGAAAUCCUGUAAUCCCGGGAGGACCACCUGUGGCGAAGGCGCUCGGCUGGAACGGGUCCGACGGUGAGGGACGAAGGCCUGGGGAGCGAACCGGAUUAGAUACCCGGGUAGUCCAGGCUGUAAACGAUGCGGGCUAGGUGUCACCGGAGCUACGAGCUCCGGUGGUGCCGGAGGGAAGCCGCUAAGCCCGCCGCCUGGGAAGUACGGCCGCAAGGCUGAAACUUAAAGGAAUUGUCGGGGGAGCAG
rnacentral:rRNA from 1 species